CAGCCAUUUCUAAUGCACUGUUACUGACCCAGGAAAACUAGCAUCAAGUUUCAGGUGCCCCAAAUACACACUGUCAUGUCUCCUACAGUGGAUUUACACUGAGAAUGUUUUUGCUAAAAUAAUUAUAAACAGAAGCUCAAUUGCCCAGUUUCACCAAGAACAGAUCUCAGCGUGCACUUCUCAUGACUCUGCAGGAAGAUCCAGGAGAAAGGAAGGGAAGUAACUGCUAUUUCAUUGCAUCAUAAAAGCAUCGGCUGACAUUGCCAGCAAACAUACCAUUCCACAAGCAAUCUCCCAACAGGAACACCUCUGGAGCAUGGGGAAUCCAGCCUUAACAGAAACAACCCAGGGGCGGCCUGGGCUGGAAGGGACCUUGAACACCAUCUAGUUACAGACCACCUCAGCACCUGCAUUCAAUUACAUCACUGAUUUCUGCAGCUCCGCACCUGGCUAGAUACUGGUUUUGCCUUUGAUUUGUGGCAGGUGUGACCCAGAGCAUUUAGGGGUUCUCCAGCUAAAACCAAUUGCUUAUGCUAGAAGCUUAGCAGCAAAGCAGCCAUCAUUGCUCCCCCAAGGAACGCUUGCUAUGGCUAUGAAUUAAAGGUAAUAUCUAGAAGACACAGAAUAAAGUCAUAAUAAAAAUAUCCAUUAUGCUCAUACGUGCCAUUCUUGAACUUGCAAAAGCCAACGCUCACCACAAAACGCUGUGGAGAAAGCAGGGACCCCGACAAAUAAAUAAAUGUACAUUCUCCGCAGCAUUUCUUACCGCCAUUUCAGCACAGGGGCGCCCACCAGCCCGUGCCUGACGUGCCACCCAAAACACCGAGAUCCAGGAGACCUGCAGGAGCUCGGAGGCGCGGUGCUGCCAGCUGCGGGCGGUGCGAGUCCUCGCCCCGAACCCCUUCAGCCCCGUCCUCUGCUGCAGCUCCUCCACGCGAGCACGCAGCCCUCCGAAAUUACAGCGCUGGGACGCUAAGCGCAUCGAACCCGCUGCACGGGGAGAAGAACACACACUCACCUCAGUGCUGGGUGCUCGGCCGGCCAAGCCAAAAGGCGCUUAGAAAGCGGCAGCUCCCUGGCUCCGCGCGGCCGCCAUUCCGCGGCCCCCACGUGCAGCCCUUGCUGGAAGCUUCUGCGCCGCUGAGGGCCCGCACCUGUGGCCGCCGCGGCCGAGCUGCUUUCCCAUUGGCGCCGCAGGCCCCUCCCGCCCUUCCCGGGGGACAGCUGCGGGGGGUGGGCGCUAACGACGCUCCCGGCUUCUACGGGACACUGCUUUCUCACAUUUGGCACUCGAAGCACAGGAGUGUUUUUUAG
rnacentral:lncRNA from 1 species